rnacentral:piRNA from 1 species
UGGUUUGAUACUAACGUCUGAAUCUGC